UUAGCCAUUCAGACAUGGUUUCCAAUUCAAUCUUCCAAAGCAAUCUUUUGCUCUCAUUGCUUAUGCUGAGUUCUCAUUCUUAAUCUCAGUUCAAACUCAAUAGCAACUUACAUAGAUAUUUCCUUGAUUUGGUUGUGUUUUUGCUUUACUGAUGUGCUGUGAGUAGAUCAUGUACUUUAUUUCAUGUAAGAUUCUCCCUUGUUCUAUUUGUUCGCGUAAUGCUCUAUUUCUUCUAAUGAUGAUGCUUGGUAUGUAAAUUAAGUGUUGUACUAAGUUCGAAUUGGGUUAAAUGUAGGACUAAAACAAAUUUUGUAGGUUUUUGUGGAGAGCAUCCUGCUGAUGCAUUGAUUUGGCUGCUAAUGAUAACUUUAGUACCCACUAAAAUGAGAACUGAUAUCAUUGUAGGAUUGUUUGAGCAGCAAUUGCAGUAUAGGGUGUAUGGGUGUUAUACAAUACAUACUGCAAUACAUAGUCUUUGUAUCUCAUGUUUAGUUCAGAGAAUUAAGUGCAUUGGUUGAGGUAGGAAUAAAAGGGCAGCCCGGUGCACUAAGCUCCCGCUAUGCGCGGGGUCCGGGGAAGGACCGGACCACAAGCGUCUAUUGUACGCAACCUUACCCUGCAUUUCUGCAAGAGGUUGUUUCCACGGUUGAGGUAGGAAUCUGUUCUAAAAUACUUAUUUAGGAAAAUUAAAAUACUGAUAGUCAAAUUAAGUAUGUUUAAUAUCUGCUAAGGAGGUUUUUAUGAAGGACCAUGGUGUACGAAUGCACAAGAAGUCAAGAAGAAUAGUUGUUAAGUGAGAUAAUAACCCAAAAGAAGAAUCAUAUUGAGGUGAGAGUUAUUGGUGUUGCAGGUGACAUAGCUCAGAGGGAAAGGAUGUUCUGUGUACAGGAAAUUGUGAUUUUUGAAUAUCUUGUAUUAAUAAUGAAAUUCUGAAGUACCUAUAACAAUAACAACAAUAACAAUAUUGUCUCAAAAUUCAAAAUAUAUAAUGUUCUGAAAAUGUGAAGUAAAAUAAAGUGUUGACCCAUCCAGUUAUUAGUGAGAACAGUAAGGAAGCUUUUGUUCAACUUUUGUGAGACAUCUAAUUAGUUGCUUAAGGCGGUACAAAGUUUUUAUUAGGUCUCUUAAAGUUAUUUCAAAUAUUUUGUAUGAUGUAUUUGUCAUCGGAUCAAACUAAAGCGUUUCUUUGAUCAGAGUAAUGAGGGUGAUAUAAACUCUAAGUAGGUAUUUGUUUGAUUCAAUAUACUAUUGGGGCUAUUUUCAUGAUAGCCUAAUUUAUCUGUUGUUUUCAUCUUCUAUCAUCGUCCUUAGUCCUAUGAUUGCUUUAAAAAGGAAUAACUAGUGGCAUAGUCUCAGAUAUAUGAAGCAAGGGAGGCAUGGUCCACAUACUUGUGUGGGGAGAGAUAGAUAGGGGGGGGGGGGAGUCUUUUCUAUAUGCUUUUCGACACUUGCAUUAUUUCAUAGUUGAUAGAAAAUCUAUAUCUGAGUAUCCUUCUCAAAAAAAUAAAAAAUAUUUUUUUUUUGUAGCUGAGUUGCUGCAUGUUGAGUGUACUUCAUCAGUACUCUACCCUGCUUGACCUAUGUGACUAUCACCAUGAAGCUCUUAAAGAGUUUUUGUGGAAGUGCCUUUUUCUGUCAAUGAAUUAGAUGCUUUAUCACAUUAAUUUGAGAUGAGGUGAGUUUUCAGUUCCUAAGGGUAGAGCAGCAAGUAAAGCUUCCAGCACCUUACCUGCUUAAAUGCUUGACUAGUGGUCCUUUACAUACACUGAUACAAACUGUAUUUGAUUUAAGUUUUUCUUUCUUGCUUCCACUGUUGGAUCUAUGUAGACUGGCGACCGUGCAUUAACCAUUUAACAUACAGGAAGUUAGUCAUUUGUUUUCUUUAUAGCGGAUGUGAUGCAAGUAUCAGCUAAAUGACUUGAAGGUAGUCAACCUAGGUAGAAUUCCACCAAUGUGUUCAUGUUAUGUAGGCAUAACUCUUUCAGAGCUUUGUAUUUGAAUAUUUUCUUUCAUAGAUCACUAGGCCAUAGAAAAGCUUUUUCCUUUACCUUGUUCUAAUGUUUGUCAAGAAUUCUCUUUUUCUCACAUUUUAAGCAAAAGUUCUUGUUGGUGGAGGAGUAGCUUGCUACUUUCACAAUGUUGUAUUGUCAUUUUGUGGUUGAACCAGAUUGUCAUAUUCCAUGAUAGAUGAAAAUGGUAGAUUAUUGUGUGGUAAAUGAGAGCAAUAUCUGAUACAUUUACUGCCUUUUAGUGUGGCCUCCGGUUUGAGUUUCAACAGGUCAAUGCGCGCAACCAAAUCAUGGACUUCUGUUUAUAAAUUUUCUUUGCGUGAUUGCUCAACUAUUCCACUGUCUUGGUUAUGGUUGCUGUGGUAUGAAAUGGCAGCUUGCAUAAAACUAGUGAAGGAAGAAACUAAAUGGUUUUAGUCAUGAUUAGUUUCCUCAGCUGUCGUUUUCUCCCACAUCUUGGUAUGGGACGGAAGUAGUUAUGUGCACGGCUCAUAUGCCGCUCUAUGCUUUACUUUCCCUUGGAACUCAUUAGAUGGGCAGUGUAGUUCAUAGUAAGUUUGCCAUAGGUGGAAUUUGUAUGAUUGAUAGCUUGUAUUACAUGUUCUUUCGUCCUACCGCACCGCGGAGAAAAUCUCAAGGUGUUAAAAAUCUCAAUGUUCCAUUCAAUGAGAUCAACUUGUUUAACUUCCCUUUCCAACAUUUAAAGAGAUUUUUUCCCUUUCAAAGUUAGUUUGAAGACAAUUUGACGGCAAAUUUCAUCUCAUGUUCAGGUGUAUUUUAGCUGUGAUGUGCCACCUGUCACAAUAGCCUCAUUGCACCUUGUUGAGUUUAACACCCUGAAAUAAUGCUCAUUACUUCCCUUUUAUUGCUAAAUGCUUUAUUUUUGCUUACACUUAAGUUUAUCUUAACUUGGAAUGUUUGAAGAAUAAUUCUGAAGUACUCUUUGGCAUGAAAACAACACAGGGCUUCAAAAGAUUUUCCUGAUAUGCACACUCUUAUUAUGCAUGCCUACAACUCGAAUAGUGCUGAUUCACUUGUGGAACAUUUGGCCUUUCACAAAGCAUUGUGUGUUCUGAUGGGAUGGAACUAUCUGGCAUCUCCUGAUAACUCGAAGUCAUAUCAGAUGUUAUCUGCUGAUGAAGCAACUGCAAACCGAGAUGAUCUAGUUUUGUGGCCCCCUUUGGUAAUAAUCCAUAACACUAUCACAGGAAAACGUGAUGAUGGGCGCAUGGAGGGUUUGGGAAACAAGGCAAUGGAUAGUUACCUUAGAGGUAA
rnacentral:lncRNA from 1 species